UGUGUCUAUUUUCAAGAUAAGGAAACAGGAAGAAGGAAAGUAGCAAUGGUAAUUAGGAGGUGUAAAGGUUGAGUAGCAAAAGGCAGAGCAGAGAGAAGGCACAUGAUGUGUGGGAUUGGCUGUCCAUCAUAAAGACACCUUCAUUCCCUAAGAGAACAAGGCUAACAUGCAAUUUGGCUGACAACAAUUUUAUGUAACAGGUGGAAAGACUAUGUGCAGUGCACAGAGGAUGCCUGGGACUCAUUUUGCUAUUUCAAAGUUCCUUUGUGAAAGAACUUUGGAAGUGAUGCAACUCCAGAAGAAUCUUUGGAUCUUCUUUUUAAAAAUGUGUGACAACAAAAUGAGGAGCUUGAACUGAUUAUUGAUUUGACAUGUAUGAAGCACUCCUAUAAAGCAAAGGCAGCAAAGCUGAGAAAACCUAUUUCUACAAUCUACUGCAUCCUAGAUACACGGUCAUUAUGGAUUUCUAGGAAGUAAACAGUAAAGACAGUCACUCUCAGAUAAAGCAAGAAGACUUGAGACCAGCCCAGCUACCUGGAAUAAUAGAGAAUAGUCAAGCAGUCUGAAAAAAAAUGAGAGAGCAACAGAGAUGCCUGGAAGAGGAUUAGAGCAACCGAGCCACCGGCAAAGGACACUCUUUAUCCUGUUGAGCUGCCUGAAGGCCGUGCAAUGUGCUCCAGAUUGUCAACUUUUGUGAGCUGUCAUUCUAGGAUGGGCUUUGGCGAUGCAGCAGACAUUGAGUCAUUUCUGCUCCUGUAAUGAACCACUUACCCAUCUUCUUGUAAGUGAUCCCAAUAAAACUUAUUGAUGGAUUGGA